rnacentral:rRNA from 1 species
UACGUAGGGGGCAAGCGUUGUCCGGAUUUAUUGGGCGUAAAGAGCGUGUAGGCGGCUAGGUAGGUCCGUUGUGAAAACUCGAGGCUCAACCUCGAGACGUCGAUGGAAACCAUCUAGCUAGAGUCCGGAAGAGGAGAGUGGAAUUCCUGGUGUAGCGGUGAAAUGCGCAGAUAUCAGGAAGAACACCCGCGGCGAAGGCGGCUCUCUGGUACGUGACUGACGCUGAGACGCGAAAGCGUGGGGAGCGAACAGG